UUUCAAUACUUUCAUAUCUGAAAGUGAGAUUUCCCCAGUUUCUUCAAAAAAUGAAAUCACAGAGUCUAAACCUUCCAUUGCCAUAGCAGAUUUGGACUUGGACUUGGACUUGAAGUUGGACUUGGAUUUGAAUUUGGAUUUGGACUUAGACUUGCUUCAUUGUAUUCUUCUUUCACCUUCAACUACAAUGGCAGCCGAUUAACUAGCUGCGCCAGCGGUCAGCAACUUUGGAUGCGGGCUUUUCCAGGAAGCGGCAAUUUAUCGAACG